rnacentral:misc_RNA from 1 species
UCCGGUUUAGACCGGCGGUCUCCCUAGACAUAAUAACUAAGGACAAGGGUUGCGCUCGUUGCGGGACUUAACCCAACACCUCACGGCACGAGCUGACGACGGCCAUGCAGCAUCUGUGCACGCUCCCUUGCGGGAGGUCCUCGCUUUCACGAAGAUUUCCUCUGCAUGUCAAGCCCAGGUAAGGUUCUUCGCGUUGCCUCGAAUUAAACCACACGCUCCGCUGCUUGUGCGGGCCCCCGCCUAUUCCUUUGAGUUUUAACCUUGCGGCCGUAGUCCCCAGGCGGUGAACUUAAUGCGUUAGCUGCGGCACUGAUCGGGUCAAUCCGACCAACACCUAGUUCACAACGUUUAGGGCGUGGACUAC